UCUGGUAUCCAAAUAAACUUUUAACAAGCUCUGCCUCUGAUGCCACCAGAUGUAAGGCAGCUAUCAUAUAAUUAAGUGUUCCACCCUUUAAAUAGGCUUUGACUCAUGACUCAGAUAUUAAAUAAGCCAGCAUUUCAUCUAUAGACAGCUGUUUCGGGGUGAUUGCCCCUCAUCA